GGGUUGUGAGGUUAAGCGACUAAGCGUACACGGUGGAUGCCCUGGCAGUCAGAGGCGAUGAAGGACGUGCUAAUCUGCGAUAAGCGUCGGUAAGGUGAUAUGAACCGUUAUAACCGGCGAUUUCCGAAUGGGGAAACCCAGUGUGAUUCGUCACACUAUCAUUAACUGAAUCCAUAGGUUAAUGAGGCGAACCGGGGGAACUGAAACAUCUAAGUACCCCGAGGAAAAGAAAUCAACCGAGAUUCCCCCAGUAGCGGCGAGCGAACGGGGAGCAGCCCAGAGCCUGAAUCAGUGUGUGUGUUAGUGGAAGCGUCUGGAAAGGCGCGCGAUACAGGGUGACAGCCCCGUACACAAAAAUGCACAUGCUGUGAGCUCGAUGAGUAGGGCGGGACACGUGGUAUCCUGUCUGAAUAUGGGGGGACCAUCCUCCAAGGCUAAAUACUCCUGACUGACCGAUAGUGAACCAGUACCGUGAGGGAAAGGCGAAAAGAACCCCGGCGAGGGGAGUGAAAAAGAACCUGAAACCGUGUACGUACAAGCAGUGGGAGCCUCUUUAUGGGGUGACUGCGUACCUUUUGUAUAAUGGGUCAGCGACUUAUAUUCUGUAGCAAGGUUAACCGAAUAGGGGAGCCGAAGGGAAACCGAGUCUUAACUGGGCGUUAAGUUGCAGGGUAUAGACCCGAAACCCGGUGAUCUAGCCAUGGGCAGGUUGAAGGUUGGGUAACACUAACUGGAGGACCGAACCGACUAAUGUUGAAAAAUUAGCGGAUGACUUGUGGCUGGGGGUGAAAGGCCAAUCAAACCGGGAGAUAGCUGGUUCUCCCCGAAAGCUAUUUAGGUAGCGCCUCGUGAAUUCAUCUCCGGGGGUAGAGCACUGUUUCGGCAAGGGGGUCAUCCCGACUUACCAACCCGAUGCAAACUGCGAAUACCGGAGAAUGUUAUCACGGGAGACACACGGCGGGUGCUAACGUCCGUCGUGAAGAGGGAAACAACCCAGACCGCCAGCUAAGGUCCCAAAGUCAUGGUUAAGUGGGAAACGAUGUGGGAAGGCCCAGACAGCCAGGAUGUUGGCUUAGAAGCAGCCAUCAUUUAAAGAAAGCGUAAUAGCUCACUGGUCGAGUCGGCCUGCGCGGAAGAUGUAACGGGGCUAAACCAUGCACCGAAGCUGCGGCAGCGAC
rnacentral:rRNA from 1 species